rnacentral:rRNA from 1 species
CUGCAUUGCGGCAGGCUAAACAUGCAGUCGAACGGAUCCUUCGGGAUUAGUGGCGGACGGGUGAGUAACACGUGGGAACGUGCCCUUUGGUUCGGAACAACUCAGGGAAACUUGAGCUAAUACCGGAUGUGCCCUUCGGGGGAAAGAUUUAUCGCCCCAUUGGAAGCGGCCCCGCGUUUGAGGAUUAGCUUAGUUUGGGUGGGGUAAAAGGCCCCCACCAAGGGUCUACGAUCCUUUAGCUGGUCUGGAGAGGGAUGAUCAGCCCACAUUGGGACUGAGACACGGGCCCCAAACUCCUACGGGGAGGCAGCAGUGGGGAAUCUUGCGCAAUGGGCGAAAGCCUGACGCAGCCAUGCCGCGUGAAUGAUGAAGGUCCUUAGGAUUGUAAAAUUCUUUCACCGGGGACGAUAAUGACGGUACCCGGAGAAGAAGCCCCGGCUAACUUCGUGCCAGCAGCCGCGGUAAUACGAAGGGGGCUAGCGUUGCUCGGAAUUACUGGGCGUAAAGGGAGCGUAGGCGGAUAGUUUAGUCAGAGGUGAAAGCCCAGGGCUCAACCUUGGAAUUGCCUUUGAUACUGGCUAUCUUGAGUACGGAAGAGGUAUGUGGAACUCCGAGUGUAGAGGUGAAAUUCGUAGAUAUUCGGAAGAACACCAGUGGCGAAGGCGACAUACUGGUCCGUUACUGACGCUGAGGCUCGAAAGCGUGGGGAGCAAACAGGAUUAGAUACCCUGGUAGUCCACGCUGUAAACGAUGAGUGCUAGUUGUCGGCAGGCAUGCCUGUCGGUGACGCAGCUAACGCAUUAAGCACUCCGCCUGGGGGAGUACGGUCGCAAGAUUAAAACUCAAAGGAAUUGACGGGGGGCCCGCACAAGCGGUGGAAGCAUGUGGGUUUAAUUCGGAAGCAACGCCGCAGAAACCUUUACCACCUUUUUGACAUGCCCCGGACCGCCGGCAGAGAUGCGGGCUUUCCCCUUCGGGGACUGGGGACACAGGUGGCUGCAUGGGCUGUCGUCAGCCUCGUGUCCGUGAAGAUGUUUGGGGUUAAGUCCCCGCAACGAAGCGCAACCCUUCGCUAUUAAUUGGCCAUCAAGGUUUGGGCUGGGGCACUCCUAAUAAUUACUGGCCGAAAUUUAAUUCCGGAAGAAAGGUGGGGAAUGAACGUCCAAGUCCCUCAUGGGCCCCUUAACAAGGUGGGCUACACACGUGCUACAAUGGCGACUACAGAGGGCUGCAAUCCCGCGAGGGGGAGCCAAUCCCUAAAAGUCGUCUCAGUUCGGAUUGCACUCUGCAACUCGAGUGCAUGAAGUUGGAAUCGCUAGUAAUCGCGGAUCAGCAUGCCGCGGUGAAUACGUUCCCGGGCCUUGUACACACCGCCCGUCACACCAUGGGAGUUGGCUUUACCCGAAGGCGCUGCGCUAACCGCAAGGAGGCAGGCGACCAUCGUAGGUCAGGGUUUGC